AGCGAACGCUGGCGGCAGGCUUAACACAUGCAAGUCGAACGGGCAUCUUCGGAUGUCAGUGGCAGACGGGUGAGUAACACGUGGGAACGUACCCUUCGGUUCGGAAUAACUCAGGGAAACUUGAGCUAAUACCGGAUACGCCCUUUUGGGGAAAGGUUUACUGCCGAAGGAUCGGCCCGCGUCUGAUUAGCUUGUUGGUGGGGUAACGGCCUACCAAGGCGACGAUCAGUAGCUGGUCUGAGAGGAUGAUCAGCCACACUGGGACUGAGACACGGCCCAGACUCCUACGGGGGGCAGCAGUGGGGAAUAUUGGACAAUGGGCGCAAGCCUGAUCCAGCCAUGCCGCGUGAGUGAUGAAGGCCUUAGGGUUGUAAAGCUCUUUUGUCCGGGACGAUAAUGACGGUACCGGAAGAAUAAGCCCCGGCUAACUUCGU
rnacentral:rRNA from 1 species